UCCGGCUCCACUUCAUCAGUGUCUGACAGAAGCCUGUGGGAUAAAGGAAGCCUAAAACCAUAAACCAUUGCCUGUUUCUGCACUGAAAAAAGAGGAUGGACAGCCUUACAAACAAGGGAAAAUCAAUUGAAGAGAAAUUACUACGGGGGAGGUUGGCUUCUCAAGUCAGAAUAAGCAAACUGUAAGUUAUUAAAGAGUUUCCAGUAACCAGCUGAAUGUUGAACUGUGAUGUGAUAUUUGAUGCACUGAGAAUUGAUUUAGAUUUUGUGUACAUGUUGUGUUAAAAGG